rnacentral:lncRNA from 1 species
CAAAAAUUCUCCCACACGUCCAGCACCUCUCUGCACCUCCUACUCCGCAGGAUUACCACCCUGCCCCGGCCCAUCAUCAUACAGCUGCAAGGGUCCCACCAACCGUCCAUCAACCCGAGCGUAAAGGGCCACGAAGACCAUAUAAGCCGGUCCCGUAGGCGCCCCUGUAUCUAUUGUCAAACACGAGGUGCAUUUGACAAAUACGACUCCCGGGAAAUGGCAGUCCCGGAAGUCCUC